GACGAACGCUGGCGGCGUGCUUAACACAUGCAAGUCGAACGGAAAGGCCCUGCUUUUGUGGGGUGCUCGAGUGGCGAACGGGUGAGUAACACGUGAGUAACCUGCCCUUGACUUUGGGAUAACUUCAGGAAACUGGGGCUAAUACCGGAUAGGAGCUCCUGCUGCAUGGUGGGGGUUGGAAAGUUUCGGCGGUUGGGGAUGGACUCGCGGCUUAUCAGCUUGUUGGUGGGGUAGUGGCUUACCAAGGCUUUGACGGGUAGCCGGCCUGAGAGGGUGACCGGCCACAUUGGGACUGAGAUACGGCCCAGACUCCUACGGGAGGCAGCAGUGGGGAAUAUUGCACAAUGGGCGGAAGCCUGAUGCAGCAACGCCGCGUGCGGGAUGACGGCCUUCGGGUUGUAAACCGCUUUCGCCUGUGACGAAGCGUGAGUGACGGUAAUGGGUAAAGAAGCACCGGCUAACUACGUGCCAGCAGCCGCGGUGAUACGUAGGGUGCGAGCGUUGCCCGGAUUUAUUGGGCGUAAAGGGCUCGUAGGUGGUUGAUCGCGUCGGAAGUGUAAUCUUGGGGCUUAACCCUGAGCGUGCCUUCGAUACGGGUUGACUUGAGGAAGGUAGGGGAGAAUGGAAUUCCUGGUGGAGCGGUGGAAUGCGCAGAUAUCAGGAGGAACACCAGUGGCGAAGGCGGUUCUCUGGGCCUUUCCUGACGCUGAGGAGCGAAAGCGUGGGGAGCGAACAGGCUUAGAUACCCUGGUAGUCCACGCUGUAAACGGUGGGUACUAGGUGUGGGGUCCAUUCCACGGGUUCCGUGCCGUAGCUAACGCUUUAAGUACCCCGCCUGGGGAGUACGGCCGCAAGGCUAAAACUCAAAGGAAUUGACGGGGCCCCGCACAAGCGGCGGAGCAUGCGGAUUAAUUCGAUGCAACGCGUAGAACCUUACCUGGGUUUGACAUGGAUCGGGAGUGCUCAGAGAUGGGUGUGCCUCUUUUGGGGUCGGUUCACAGGUGGUGCAUGGCUGUCGUCAGCUCGUGUCGUGAGAUGUUGGGUUAAGUCCCGCAACGAGCGCAACCCUUGUUCACUGUUGCCAGCACGUUAUGGUGGGGACUCAGUGGAGACCGCCGGGGUCAACUCGGAGGAAGGUGGGGAUGACGUCAAGUCAUCAUGCCCCUUAUGUCCAGGGCUUCACGCAUGCUACAAUGGCUGGUACAGAGAGUGGCGAGCCUGUGAGGGUGAGCGAAUCUCGGAAAGCCGGUCUCAGUUCGGAUUGGGGUCUGCAACUCGACCUCAUGAAGUCGGAGUCGCUAGUAAUCGCAGAUCAGCAACGCUGCGGUGAAUACGUUCCCGGGGCU
rnacentral:rRNA from 1 species